AUUGAACGCUGGCGGCAUGCCUUACACAUGCGAGUCGAACGGCAGCACGGGAGCAAUCCUGGUGGCGAGUGGCGAACGGGUGAGUAAUACAUCGGAACGUGCCCAGUAGUGGGGGAUAACCCGGCGAAAGCCGGACUAAUACCGCAUACGACCUACGGGUGAAAGCGGGGGAUCGCAAGACCUCGCGCUAUCGGAGCGGCCGAUGUCAGAGUAGCUAGUUGGUGGGGUAAAGGCCUACCAAGGCGACGAUCUGUAGCUGGUCUGAGAGGACGACCAGCCACACUGGUACUGAGACACGGCCCAGACUCCUACGGGAGGCAGCAGUGGGGAAUGUUGGACAAUGGGCGCAAGCCUGAUCCAGCCAUGCCGCGUGCGGGAAGAAGGCCUUCGGGUUGUAAAACGCUUUUGUCAGGGAAGAAACGCUCCGGGCUAAUACCACGGAGUAAUGACGGUACCUGAAGAAUAAGCACCGGCUAACUACGUG
rnacentral:rRNA from 1 species